CCACACCAAUAAAAUUUCUUGUUCGAUGGACCCGCGCGCUCGUAUUUUAGAGAAACGUAAAAAAUAAUAUUAUUUUAAAUUUCCCGCUUCCGGAAAUUUUCGUUCCAUUUCCCGCCCCAUUUUUCAUUUUAUUUUAAAUACUCGAUCAUUUCUGAGUUUGAAAUUUCAGUAGGAAAUAUUACAUGUUGGGAAAAACCAAGACAACAUUUAUCAAUUUGCACGAGAAAGGACACUUGACACUCGGAUGUAUUGACUAUUGUUCAGAUAUGACGGUAUUUGUCGUUGAAACUCGGCGCGUACAGGUGAUCAGUGCGAAACCACCCGCAUUUGUCAUUAGCUCUAAUGAUGCACAGUUGCACAACUUUUUAAACCAUGCUUUGAGAGUUACGGCGUGGAAACAAGUAAACUUUAUAACUCCGUGAUAAACAGCAAAGAUUGGGUAGAGUAGAUCUGUUAUGUUUUAGCAGAGGACCACCAUGGAUAUAAAUCAAAUUUUGGAAUCUGCCUAAAUGGAGACUGCUAAGCUUCUUGAUUUAUUUACUUUGGAUGAUGAGUGUUGAAGCCCUAGAUCCAGCAGGAUUUGGUGGAGUUUUUUUCUGAAUUUCUGCAGUGGAAUGAUAAACUGGACUAGAACUUUUUAUCUGUUUAUAUAGUGAAUAAGUGCAGACAUUGUUAUUCAAGAAGGUCUUCAGUUGAACCACAGUGAAUGCACACUGUAGGUAGAUAUUUCCAUGAAGCCAUAAAAUUGUUUCCACAGACAAUUCUUUCACAGAUUCUUUGUUUACAUGUACUAAUUCCAUGCUGUCCUGGACCAACCAGAAGAAUUCAAAAUAUCCAUCUACCUUAAUUUGCCGAAGUAGCUACCCAUAAUUUGAAUAAUAUUUAAACAUCUUGAUACUUUAUUUCAAAUUCUCUAUAAGUCAACCCUUGAAAAAAAAACAAUUUUGAUUAUAAUUCAUAUUUGUUGAACCUUGUUAUUCUGAGCUCUGUGUCACUGUCAAUCAUAUUUUAUUAUAAAUUUGUGAAUUACCAUAUGUAAUGAUAACUUAUCACUGCUGGCAUUAAUUGUAAAUGAUAAAAAGUAAUGGGACAUACUUGUCUUGUCGAUGGUUCUAUUAUGUCUGAUUUUUUUAAUUAUGUGAAUUUUGGGACCAUGUUUAGCUUCUGAUAUUGUGCAUAAAUACAGAACAGCAGUGCUGUUGGAAUUGACCAGUUUCAGAUGAUUGUAUAAGUUUUGAUCACAUCACAUUUUGUGAAUACUGUUUUGAAAUAUAUGUUAAAGAUGGAGGUAAACACUUAUUUAAACAGUGAUAAAUCUCAUAAAUGUACAAGCAAAUCAUGUACAGGGCAAAAUAAAGCCCUGAAAACAUCAAAGGUUUGAGAUUCAUAGGAGAGUUAAUCUUUUAUGUCAUUAGCAGAUUUAUUUACAGAAUUUUGUACCUUUAUGAAAUAAACAACCUGUGUCAAAUGUCCUUAUAAUGCUCUAAACAUGUAAAGGAAUCAGAACGUUUUUUAAAAUUGUUUUUUUAACAUAUGGAGUAAAGUCAUUAUGUAAUUAAAAAGUGAGAAAACAUA